rnacentral:SRP_RNA from 1 species
GCUGAGUGUGGUGGCGCAUGCUUGUAGUCCCAGCUACUUGGGAGGCUGAGGCAGGAGGAUUGCUUGAGCUCAGGAGUACAAGACUGCAGUGAGCUAUGAUUGUGCCACUGCACUCCAGCCUGGGAAACAGAGUGAGACCCUGUCUCAA